rnacentral:rRNA from 1 species
GAUAAACGCUGGCGGCGUGCUUAACACAUGCAAGUCGAACGAAGUUUUUCCUUCGGGAGCAACUUAGUGGCGGACGGGUGAGUAACGCGUGGGUAACCUGCCCUGUAUAGGGGGACAACAGCUGGAAACGGCUGCUAAUACCGCAUAAGCCCUUAGCACUGCAUGGUGCAUAGGGAAAAGGAGCAAUCCGGUACAGGAUGGACCCGCGUCUGAUUAGCCAGUUGGCAGGGUAACGGCCUACCAAAGCGACGAUCAGUAGCCGAUCUGAGAGGAUGUACGGCCACAUUGGGACUGAGACACGGCCCAGACUCCUACGGGAGGCAGCAGUGGGGAAUAUUGCACAAUGGAGGAAACUCUGAUGCAGCGACGCCGCGUGAGUGAAGAAGUAUUUCGGUAUGUAAAGCUCUAUCAGCAGGGAAGAAAAUGACGGUACCUGACUAAGAAGCACCGGCUAAAUACGUG